AUGGAAGAAGAGAUCCCCGCUCUUCAUUGAUAAUGGCUCCAGCAUGUGAAAAGCGGCUUUGCUGGGACAAUGCCCUCUGAGCCAUGUUCCCCUCCAUCGUCAGGUGCCCCCGGCACCAGGGCAUGAUGGUGGGCAUGGGCCAGAACGACUCCUAUGUGGGCGAUGAGGCCCAGAGCAAGUGCGGCAUCCUGACCCUGAAGUGCUCCAUCAAGCACCGCAUCGUCACAAACUGGGAUGACAUGGAGAAGAUCUGGCACCACAUUUUCUACAACGAGUUGCGUGUGGCCCUGGAGGAGCAGCUGGUACUGCUGACUGAGGCCUCGCUAAACCCCAAGGCCAACAGGGAGAAGAUGACUCAGAUCAUGUUUGAGACCUUCAACACCCCGGCCAUGUACACAGCCAUUCAGGCCGUGCUGACCCUCUACACCUCUGGGCGCACCACUGGUAUUGUCAUGGACUCUGGAGAUGGGGUCACCCACACGGUGCCCAUCUACAAGGACUACACCCUCCCUCACAGUGUCUUGCAUCUGGAUCUGGCUGGCCGGGACCUUACUGACUACCUCAUGAAGAUCCCCACCUAGCACAGCUAUAGCUUCACUGCCAUGGCCAAGCAGAAGAUCAUGCAUGACAUCGAGGAGAAGCUAUGCUACGUCGCCCUGGACUUCGAGCAGGGGAUGGCCACUGCUGCAUCCUCCUCCUCCCUGGAGAAGAGCUAUGAGCUGCCUGACAGCCAGGUCAUCACUAUUGGCAAAUGAGCAGUUCCGGUGUCUGAGGCACUGUUCCAGCCUUCCUUCCUGGGCAUGGAUUCCUGUGGCAUCCAUGAAAGUACCUUCAAGUCCAUCAUGAAGUGUGACGUGGACAUCCCAAAGACCUGUAUGCCAACACAGUGCUGUCUGGUGGCACCACCAUGUACCCUGGCAUCACUGACAGGAUGCAGAAGGAGAUCACUACUCUGGCACCCAGCACCAUGAAGAUCAAGAUAUAGUGCCCCCAGAGCGCAAAUACUCAGUGUGAAUUGCUGGCUCCAUCCUGGCCUCACUGUCCACCUGCCAGCAGAUGUGGAUUAGCAAGCAGGAGUACGAUGAGUCAGGGCCCUCCAUCGUCCACUGCAAAUGUUUCUAAAUGGAUUGCAAGCAGAUAGCAGAUGCAUAGCAUUUGCUGCAUGGGUUAAUUCAGAAGUAUAAAUUUGCCCAUGGAAAAUGCAUACACCUCAUGCUAUCCUCACAAUACUGGAAUAAGCCUUUGAAAAGAAAUUGUCCUUGAAGCUUGUAUCUGAUAUCAGCACUGGAACAUAGAACUUGUUGCUAAUUUUAACCUUGUAUUCCAGUUAACUGUUGCCCUUGGUUAUUUGUUUAAUACCCUGUACAUAUCUUUGAUUUCAACCCUUAGUACGUGUGGCUUGGUCACUUUAUGGCUGAGGUAAGAACGUGCUUGUGGAAGACAAGUCUGUGGCUUGGUAAGUCUGCGUGGCCAGCAGUCUCUGAUCUGUGCAGGGUAUUAAUGUGUCAGAGCUGAGUGUUCUGGGAUUUCUCUAGAGGCUGGCAAGGGCUUCUGAACCAGUUGUUUCUGUCCUGCUGGUCUGUCAGGGUUGGAAAAGUCCAAGCCAUAGGACCCAGUUUCCUUUCUUAGCUGAUGUUUUUCUACCGGAACACAGUGGGCUGUUACUUGCUUUGAGUUGGAAGCGGUUUACAUUUACACCUGUAAAUGUAUUCAUCCUUUUAAUUUA